rnacentral:miRNA from 1 species
CCUCCAGCUGUUUUGGGACUACAAUUCCCACCAUCCCUGACCACUGGCCCUGUUAGCUUGGGUUGAUGGGAGUUGUAGUCCCAAAACAGCUGGAGG